rnacentral:tRNA from 1 species
GGGCUGGUAGUUCAGGGGUAUGAACGCUUGGUUCGCAACCAAGAAGUCGGGGGUUCAAAUCCCCCCCAGUCCA